UUUGGUUCGUGGUACCCUCCAGGUCUGAGGCGGGCGGCCGGGCGCUGUGUUCAUUGUGUGAGCGCGGUGUUUUUGGUUGCUUUGGCCUUCUUGCUACUCUCCGGUCCUUCCGCCAGCCUCGAGCCCUCACCACUCUCGGUAUCUGUGAUUGUCUUCAGGGAAAGAUUUCUACAAGUGAGAUUGCUAGAGUAAACGCUGCACUGCACAGCAUAUGGGAUCUUAGUUCCCUGACCAGGGAUCAAACCUGCAUUCUCUGCAUUGGAAGUGUGGAGUCUUAACCGCUGGACUACCAGGGAAGUCCCUCCUCUUCUUUAAUAUAAUAAUUAGUUGGUAGCAAAUCUCUAUUUUAAAAUUAUUUCUUAUCUGUAUAUAAAAUGUGGCAUUUUGUAUAAGAAAUAGGAAAAAAUAAGAAUGUAAUUAUAUGUAUUUGAUUAGUUUUGCAAUGAGAAAACAAAAGAAGGGUAAAUCAGAAACUAAUGAAAAUAGUUACAGGUUAGGGAUAGGUGGGAAAGGCUAGGAUGUGAGCCAGACUUCUCUGAAUAUACCUUUUCAUACAGUCUUCACUUCUGAGGCAUGUAAAUAUUCUAUGAAUUUAAAAAUUAAAAUUAAUAUUAACUCAAAAGAUAAAGAAGAGUCAAACCUUAAAAUUGAAUACAAAUAGCAAAAAUCAAUAUCAUAUUUAUAACACAGGCACAGAAAAAAUUAAUUAAAGUAACUUUUGAACACCGCGCUGAAUAAAAACAGAAAGAACUAAAAAGAAGUCUUGAACUUUCCCGAGUGGGUUUAUCAGAGAUGGCAAUUUGGUAUAGUGAUUCUGGAAGUAUUUUGUUGUGUUGUAGCAUAAGGCAAAUGAGUAACUGUACUGAUGCUUUUUAGAACCAGAGUUCUUUGUAGGAGAAGAGGGAUACAAAUAAAAAUGGGGAAGAUAAGGAAAAAUCCUAUGGUGUUGAUUCAAUCUGGAUGUAUCAAUAUUAUUUUUAAAUAUAUAUAUAUAAAUAUAUAGGUAUUUCCUUGCUUUUAAAGAUAUAUAUAGUAUGUUAUGUGUGUGUGUGUAUAUAUAUAUAUAUAUAUAUAUAUUUCCUUGCUUUUUCUGUUGAAUGGGCCUAUAAGCAGUGACACCCCAGUAACAGUGAGCACAGCUAGCACCAUUAUUCAGUUUCUAAAUACCAUUCCCCAGUGAAAGGCACCAGGACUCCUGGGAGAAAUGGUUAAUUCCAGGUCUGAGGCAGCUGUGUAGGGAAAGUACAGGAUGACUCAAUGUCCUCCCAAACAAGGAAUUACUCAAAGACAAAUGGGGACAUGUCAACAGAAUACAGAAGCUGGCUUAAAAGAGCUUCUCCUGGGCAAAUUUGGGACAGUUUGAGCAUUAAAAAGAAUUGGGACAGAAAUGGAUCAUAACAGUGUCAGUAACAACACAAAUUCCAGGAACUUAACUUCAUACACCUCCACCCCACCCACCCCAGAUAUUCUGACAAAUAGGUCUGGGGUCGGGUUUGAGAAUUUUACAUUUCUUUUUUUUUUUUUUACAUCUUUAUUGGAAUAUAAUUGCUUUACAAUGGUGUGUUAGUUUCUGCUUUAUAACAAAGUGAAUCAUUUAUACAUAUACAUAUGUUCCCAUAUCUCUUCCCUCUUGAGUCUCUCUGCCUUCCACCCUCCCUAUCCCACCCCUCCAGGUGGUCACAAAGCACCGAGCUGAUCUCCCUGUGCUAUGCGGCUGCUUCCUACUAGCUAUCUAUUUUACGUUUGGUAAAAUAGUGUAUAUAUGUCCAUGCCUCUCUCUUGCUUUGUCACAGCUCACCUUUCCCCCUCCCCAUAUCCUCAAGUCCAUUCUCUAGUAGGUCUGUGUCUUUAUUCCUGUCUUACCCCUAGGUUCUUCAUGAGAUUUUUUUUUUCUUAGAUUCCAUAUAUAUGUGUUAGCAUACGGUAUUUGUUUUUCUCUUUCUGACUUACUUCACUCUGUAUGAUAGUCUCUAGGUCCAUCCACCUCACUACAAAUAACUCAAUUUCAUUUCUUUUUAUGGCUGAGUAAUAUUCCAUUGUAUAUAUGUACCACAUCUUCUUUAUCCAUUCAUCCGAUGAUGGACAUUUAGGUUGUUUCCAUCUCCUGGCUAUUGUAGAUAGAGCUGCAAUGAACAUUUUGGUACAUGACUCUUUUUGAAUUAUGGUUUUCUCAGGGUAUAUGCCCAGUAGUGGGAUUGCUGGGUCAUAUGGUAGUUCUAUUUGUAGUUUUUUAAGGAACCUCCAUACUGUUCUCCAUAGUGGCUGUACCAAUUCACUUUCCCACCAGCAGUGCAAGAGUGUUCCCUUUUCUCCACACCUUCUCCAGCAUUUAUUGUUUCUAGAUUUUUUGAUGAUGGCCAUUCUGACUGGUGUGAGAUUAUAUCUCAUUGUAGUUUUGAUUUGCAUUUCUCUAGUGAUUAAUGAUGUUGAGCAUUCUUUCAUAUGUUUGUUGGCAGUCUGUAUAUCUUUGGAGAAAUGUCUAUUUAGGUCUUCUGCUCAUUUUUGGAUUGGGUUGUUUGUUUUUUUUGUUAUUGAGCUGCAUGAGCUGCUUGUAAAUUUUGGAGAUUAAUCCUUUGUCAGUUGCUUCAUUUGCAAACAUUUUCUCCCAUUCUGAGGGUUGUCUUUUGGUCUUCUUUAUGGUUUCCUUUGCUGUGCAAAAGCUUUGAAGUUUUAUUAGGUCCCAUUUGUUUAUUUUUGUUUUUAUUUCCGUUUCUCUAGGAGGUGGGUCAAAAAGGAUCUUGCUGUGAUUUAUGUCAUAGAGUGUUCUGCCUAUGUUUUACUCUAAGAGUUUGAUAGUUUCUGGCCUUACAUUUAGGUCUUUAAUCCAUUUUGAGCUUAUUUUUGUGUAUGGUGUUAGGGAGUGUUCUAAUCUCAUACUUUUACAUGUACCUGUCCAGUUUUCCCAGCACCACUUAUUGAAGAGGCUGUCCUUUCUCCACUGUACAUACCUGCCUCCUUUAUGAAAGAUAAGGUGACCAUAUGUGCAUGGGUUUAUCUCUGAGAAUUUACAUUUCUAAGCAGCUUGCAGGUGAGGUUGCUGCUGCUGAUCUAUGGACCUUGGUUUGAGUAGCACUGGAUUAUAAAAGUUUGAAUUCAAAACGUAUCUGUGAGUCUAGGGCUUCCCUGGUGGCGCAGUGGUUAAGAAUCCCCCUCCCAGUGCAGGGGACAUGGGUUCGAGCGCUGGUCCGGGAAGAUCCCACAUGCUGCGGAGCAACUAAGCCCGUGCACCACAACUACUGAGCCUGCGCUCUAGAGCCCGCGCGCCUAGAGCCCGCGCUCCGCAACAAGAGAAGCCACCUCAAUGAGAAGCCCGCGACACAACGAAGAGUAGCGCCUGCUCGUGGCAACUAGAGAAAAGCCCGCGCACAGUAAUGACCCAAUGCAGCCAAAAGUAAAUAAACUAAAUAAAUAAAUUUAUAAAGAAAAAAGUAUCUGU